GCUCAGGGAGAUAACUGUGCUUAUCUUUGUGUGUUUUCUCAACAUGUUUGUAGUAAACUUUUGAAGUACUGAGAUGUCGUCCACACGUUCCGUGCCUUCUAAUGCAUCUGGGACAGAACCCAACCCCCAGAACAAUCUCUUUCACCAUCGGGAAGAAAGUGCUCGUUGCUAUGCUAAAUGAAGCUAGCUAUUAGCUACUAGAAGCCAUUACAAGAUUAGCGAAUCCUCAAUUCUUGUAUAAAGAAGGAGGAUACUAAUAUACGUGUAACGGGUAUGAGAAAUACUUUGAUUAUUUGAGUGAAAUUCCUGCUGAAGUAUGUAUAUUGUUUUUUCACGCAAUGAGAGGUUCAAUUGUGGCAUCUGCUGGUACCUAAAAGUCUAUAAAUAUGACUGCAGAACCGGAAGCUGUUAGCAGACCUCCUGCACUCUGCUAAAGGCGGGCCCUCGCAGCCUUCACCCUGUCUGCCGUGCUGAAGUCAUCUCCAACAAUAACUCUUCCCUGCUUGAAAUUCUGCUUUGAAAGGACAUCGCUGGCAAAAGACUGCUUGGAAAUAGCCAUUUAAGAAGCCUUGGUCUGGGGCGAUGGCGCUGGAUAAAAAGGAUUGCCUUUGACUCAGAGAAGAGGGAGUAAAAAAAAAAACGAAGAAAAAUGGAGGCUAUGAUUGCGGCCAUCAUAAACACAGAGACAGCCUCCGAGAGAGAUGAGCCGAGAGAGAGAUGGGGAUCAAGUUAAUAAGAAGGCGAGUAUACCGUAUCUACUGAGGCUCUUGGUGAAGGUGGAUGAAUUGGAGAUGUUAUAGGCAGAGUUCUGCUUUGGCACCAGAGCGAUCACUGAGCCAUCUGUAACCUGCACAUCAGAUGAAAGCCCCCAAAUAAGGUUAUUACGCCACAUCCUCAGUGCAAAAACAUUUUUUUAACGCAUUUAGGUACCUGAUAGUGAGCCAGUGUGUUGAGUCUCUUCCAGUCGUUGUCGAUCUUUGUCGUGACGUCUUCGUCCUGCAGAAUAAUUCGAGCCAUUCUGCCUUGACGCCAUUCUUCAGACGGCAUUUAGAGUGGAGAAGAACGGAAGGAAAUAUGCACUCGUCAAAUGAACCAGUAAAUAUCUAAG